ACACUGAUGGUGAAACGGUAUCAUGCUUGCCUUCCACUAUCGUCAGUAGCAAGCGGCGUGGGUUCGACUCCCGCUCAGUGUA